GUAGGAGUGAAAGCUUUGACGGCGUGCAUUUCUGCAGGUUAAAUUUUUAUAUUUUAGUGUUCGAGGAAUUAUAAUAUAUAUGAAAGUUUGUUCAAAGCAUUUUGAAGAGUCUGAUUUUCAUACACAAAUAUUCAGGUAAGGAGCUGACACACGCAGAUUUAUGUUUGAGACCGAGAAAAACUAACUUGAGACGCCGAAAUUUGAAAAGAAAUGCAGUCCCAACAAAAAACCUUCCUACAGGUACUCAUGAGAACAUAAAGAAGAAAGAAAGAUAGAAUUUAACUAGAUAUGAUCCUGUACAACAACCAAUUUUGAAAUCUGACUGUGAAGUAAUGACACAAAAUCAAGAUGAAAAUGAACUUCAUGCUCAGGAAAUGAUUCACAGGCCUGAUGAAUUGUUGGCUGCUGAAGCUCUAGGUGCUUUUAUCAAUAAGGACAAUUUGUGACAAUAUUACUACAAAUCAAAAGCUUGACAGGGUUGAAUUCUUUCGAAAUGCUGAAAACUAUUGAAAUUUUAGUAUUAAGAAUAAAAAGAGAAAAUUUUGUUUCAUCCCUCAAUAUUAGGGAAAAAAUACAUUUACAAAACUAAAGAAUGACACGAGCUAUGUUGUAUUGUCUUUACUCUUUGGAAACAUCAGUUCCCAAACAUCGUGUGAACCAGAGAAUAAAAAUUUUGAGUAAUGUUUUACCGUGGAACCUGGUUCCUUAAAUAGAAGAACUAAUGAUUAUAUGUUGUGCGAUUGUAAACCUGUCCAGCCCCAUUUUUUCUGAAGAUAAUUUCUGAAUAUUUUUGUAUUUUGCCUUUAUUUCGAGUAGCAAUAUAGAUGUUAAAUCCUAAGCUUCUGUGUAGCGAAACAGUUGUUAUUUAUAUAUAUAUAUAUAUAAUCUGUAUCCCAUUUGUUACCUUUCGGUGUAUGGGUUAGUUGUUAUUUAAAUAAUAAAUAA